rnacentral:rRNA from 1 species
UACGGAGGGAGCUAGCGUUGUUCGGAAUUACUGGGCGUAAAGAGUGUGUAGGCGGUGCUCUAAGUCUGUUGUGAAAUCUCCCGGCUUAACCGGGAGGGUGCGGCGGAAACUGGAGUGCUUGAGGGUGGGAGAGGUAAGCGGAAUUCCUGGUGUAGCGGUGAAAUGCGUAGAUAUCAGGAGGAACACCUGCGGUGUAGACGGCUUACUGGACCAUCACUGACGCUGAGGCACGAAAGCGUGGGUAGCAAACAGG